ensembl:lncRNA
CACACUGCCUGCCCCUGUACUGGAGCAGCACUCCUUACAACCCUAAGCUGAAAGUCGGAAGAUCAACUCUGUGCUAAUAUAUUGUUAAAUCUAAGCAAGGUUUGAGGCAACACAUCACAGGCUGCAGUGGAAAUGCCAGGUCAUGGCCUGAAGCAGUGAUGGAGCACCUGAUGGGAAGGCAGGGCAAUCCAGGGGAGCUCAGGUGCACGCAAUGUACCUGAGUGACUGGAAGGGUGUAGCUGGGAUCUGCCCCUUCCCAGACCUCAUUUAAGGGUUGGCAGUGGAGGCAAGGGUAUUUUGCUGGAGUUUCCUCUGUACCUGAGGCCUUCUGAAG